rnacentral:rRNA from 1 species
GACGAACGCUGGCGGCGUGCUUAACACAUGCAAGUCGAACGGAAAGGCCCUGCUUUUGUGGGGUGCUCGAGUGGCGAACGGGUGAGUAACACGUGAGUAACCUGCCCUUGACUUUGGGAUAACUUCAGGAAACUGGGGCUAAUACCGGAUAGGAGCUCCUGCCGCAUGGUGGGGGUUGGAAAGUUUCGGCGGUUGGGGAUGGACUCGCGGCUUAUCAGCUUGUUGGUGGGGUAGUGGCUUACCAAGGCUUUGACGGGUAGCCGGCCUGAGAGGGUGACCGGCCACAUUGGGACUGAGAUACGGCCCAGACUCCUACGGGAGGCAGCAGUGGGGAAUAUUGCACAAUGGGCGGAAGCCUGAUGCAGCAACGCCGCGUGCGGGAUGACGGCCUUCGGGUUGUAAACCGCUUUCGCCUGUGACGAAGCGUGAGUGACGGUAAUGGGUAAAGAAGCACCGGCUAACUACGUGCCAGCAGCCGCGGUGAUACGUAGGGUGCGAGCGUUGUCCGGAUUUAUUGGGCGUAAAGGGCUCGUAGGUGGUUGAUCGCGUCGGAAGUGUAAUCUUGGGGCUUAACCCUGAGCGUGCUUUCGAUACGGGUUGACUUGAGGAAGGUAGGGGAGAAUGGAAUUCCUGGUGGAGCGGUGGAAUGCGCAGAUAUCAGGAGGAACACCAGUGGCGAAGGCGGUUCUCUGGGCCUUUCCUGACGCUGAGGAGCGAAAGCGUGGGGAGCGAACAGGCUUAGAUACCCUGGUAGUCCACGCUGUAAACGGUGGGUACUAGGUGUGGGGUCCAUUCCACGGGUUCCGUGCCGUAGCUAACGCUUUAAGUACCCCGCCUGGGGAGUACGGCCGCAAGGCUAAAACUCAAAGGAAUUGACGGGGCCCCGCACAAGCGGCGGAGCAUGCGGAUUAAUUCGAUGCAACGCGUAGAACCUUACCUGGGUUUGACAUGGAUCGGGAGUGCUCAGAGAUGGGUGUGCCUCUUUUGGGGUCGGUUCACAGGUGGUGCAUGGCUGUCGUCAGCUCGUGUCGUGAGAUGUUGGGUUAAGUCCCGCAACGAGCGCAACCCUUGUUCACUGUUGCCAGCACGUUAUGAUGGGGACUCAGUGGAGACCGCCGGGGUCAACUCGGAGGAAGGUGGGGAUGACGUCAAGUCAUCAUGCCCCUUAUGUCCGGGGCUUCACGCAUGCUACAAUGGCUGGUACAGAGAGUGGCGAGCCUGUGAGGGUGAGCGAAUCUCGGAAAGCCGGUCUCAGUUCGGAUUGGGGUCUGCAACUCGACCUCAUGAAGUCGGAGUCGCUAGUAAUCGCAGAUCAGCAACGCUGCGGUGAAUACGUUCCCGGGGCUUGUACACACCGCCCGUCAAGUCAUGAAAGUUGGUAACACCCGAAGCCGGUGGCCUAACCGUUGUGGGGGAGCCGUCGAAGGUGGGACUGGUGAUUAGGACUAAGUCGUAACAAGGUAGCCGUACCGGAAGG